GACGAACGCUGGCGGCGUGCUUAACACAUGCAAGUUGAGCGGAAAGGCCCUUUCGGGGGUACUCGAGCGGCGAACGGGUGAGUAACACGUGAGUAAUCUGCCCCUGGCUUUGGGAUAGCCACCGGAAACGGUGAUUAAUACCGGAUACGACCACUUCUCGCAUGGGAUGGUGGUGGAAAGUUUUUCGGCCAGGGAUGUGCUCGCGGCCUAUCAGCUUGAUGGUGAGGUAAUGGCUCACCAUGGCUUCGACGGGUAGCCGGCCUGAGAGGGUGACCGGACAAACUGGGACUGAGACACGGCCCAGAAGCCUACGGGGGGCAGCAGUGGGGAAUAUUGGACAAUGGGAGGAAGCCAGAUCCAGGAACGCCGCGUGAGGGAUGACGGCCUUCGGGUUGUAAACCUCUUUCAGCAGGGACGAAGCGCAAGUGACGGUACCUGCAGAAGAAGCACCGGCCAACUACGUGCCAGCCGCCGCCGUAA
rnacentral:rRNA from 1 species